rnacentral:lncRNA from 1 species
UUUUACAAUAAAAUAAUUUUGGGAAUUGUGUAUUAAAUAAUGGAAGAGUUUACUGUCUCCUCAAAACAUUUAGUAUUCUAUAAAUUUUGUCGUUGAUUUUAUUAGUGAAAUGUAUGAAAAAAGUGUAAAAUAAUUUUAAUAGCAUCCACGCAGAAUUAUUGCAAUAAAGUAAGUUGAUAUGUAUGUCAGGACAUUGUUAACAUGCACAUAGUGUUUAUAUUAGCCAUGCUCUUUAGCUAAUGUGUUAUAUUUCAUAUAAAUGCAUGAAAUAUCAACAUUCCUGGAUAAUAGUAACGCUAACUAGGUAUGUUGAAAAUAUUAAAAGUUAUUUAUUAAAUACAGUAGGAGUUUUUGUUAGCGUUCUGUAUACCUGAGUAUGCUUUUAAAUAAUAUAAUUAGAUAUUAAUUAAUUUAUCCGUAGUUCAUAUUUUCCAUUAUGCAAACUAUAAUGAAGGUAAAAUGCUGAUUAACACUUAUAAUCCAUGUCCAUGUAUGGCGUGUAUCAUGGUCUCACAACAGUAAAUCACCAAACUGCCAGAUUAAAAUUACUAAUCUUAACUUAUAAUUCAUCUAUAGUCAUCAAUAAUAACCCUAUAGCACCAGUCGAAGAAGUUGGGACAAAUUUACUAUAGGUUUUACGUACAAAAUGAUGAAUUAUAUGACAGACAAAAUGAAAUAUACGUUAAAUUUGGUCGUGGUGGUAAUCACUAAGUGAAUACAGAAAUUAAAACUAAAUACAGACACUUGACUCAAAGAGUGAUACAAAUUUUCUUAAAAUUUUGCAGAGCUUGUCAAACAAAAAUGUCAUCUAAACGAAAAGACCUUGUAGUUAAACCGAUUAUUCAUUCAGAAAUUAAGUAUCGUUAUCAGGUAUAUCUCAUCUGGGCCUGGAUAAACAACAGAGGCAUUGUGUACUACACAUUUCUGGGCGUAUAUUAUUUAAAAAAAAAAAUCGUUGAAAGUUAAAAACAAAUCUCAUUUUAUUUAUUUCACAAGUAGAUCCUAAAAACAAAUUUCUUGAGUUAUGUAAAAUUUAUAUCUACAAAUCACCAUUUUUUUUUUCAAUUUUUUUCUGUAAGCAUUUUUAUACUUCUAAUUUUUUUUUUGCAAAUUCAUGAAAAAAGUGUUGACAACGAUUGGUAGAAGUAACGGUACAGAAAUUAGUCAUCAUUCUUUUAUUUGAAAAAAAAAACUUUUUCUACUUUUAGAUUCCGAGCGUAUCGUAGUAGCUAUUGUUAUUACUAUAGUGUUUAUUUAUUAUUUUGUUCUUCUAGUCUGUGGACACGUUUCUUUCUAAUAAACUCCUUCCGAUUUGUAUAUGUGCCUAUUUUUCUGUAAGCACGAAGGUACUUUUUAGAUUAUUAACGCCAUGUUUCAAAUAAAAACACUUAAAAAAAAAUAUAAACGUACAAUUUCUCUAUUUUAUUAUUUUAUUAAAACACGGACGACGUUCUCUACGAAAAUAGGUCGUCCAUGUAUUAAUCGAAAAAUCACAAUAUAACUUUUUUGUGGCCUUUUCGAUAUACUUUCAAUCGGUAUCAAAACCAGAUUUUUGAGCCACUUUUGAGCUUUUAAGGAAUUUUACUUUAGGAUAGAGUUUUUUAACGGAAAAAAAGCUUAAAUCCGAAAAAUAACAAUUUAGCCUUUUCGUGGCCUUUAUGAUUUACUUUCAAACGGUAUCAACUUCACUCAGAAGAGUCAUUCAUCAAGCAAAGAUAUAUCUGUUAGAAAAGAUAUACCAUUUUAUGACGAAAUGAAAUCACCCUGUGUAUUAUAUGUACCUAAAUUUUAACUUAUAANUUAUAUUUUUAAAUUUAAUGAGUUUUAAUUUUAUUAUAAUAUAUCUGAUUUAGUCUGAUUCAAAUCAACUUUUGUUGAAUAGAUAAUUUACAACUUGGUGAUCUAAACCUCUAGCAAGAACAUUUGGAUAAUCAGUCGACUACAAUUAUAAGUAACGUUCAGCAAUUUUUACUGUCAACUAGAAUCAUACCUAUAUAGUAAAUAUAAAUUGUUAUGACCGUAACGUUUAACUGAAAUAUAUUAAAAUCAAAGCAUAAAUUUAAUAUUGUGUCUCCUAAAAAUAUCAUAUUAUUCGCGUAUCUAUUUCGGAUUUAUUGCAAAUAUGCUGAUAAAAUUUAUCGUUUCGUUUGUUAUUAUUUAUUCUUUUAUGCCGGUGUCAGUACAAGGUGAAGGUCCGUUUGCUCCUGAACCGCCAUCUCAUCUCCCUAAUGAUCCUGGGAAUCCAUCUAUUUCUCAUGAUUCUGACAUUUCAGAUACAGGAGUUCACCCUAACCGUUAUCCUGAUAGUUCACCCCCAGAUGAUUGUGGUGGUUUCGGUUGUUGCCCCUCACCUUGUAAGAGAAAUUUAACAUGGGCCGAAUAUAAUUGUAAUAAAGGUUAUCACAUGUAUAAACCCGAAAUACCAAAUUGUUAUUGCUGUAACUGAAUAAUUCAUUUAUUCGAGGCACAAUUGCAAACUAUUUUACAAAUUCCAUAAAAAUAUCCAAAAUGAUCUUUCCAUAAUUUAUUCGUUUAAUGAAGCACACUUCCAAAUUGAGGCACUGCUACAAUUUAAAUUAAUUUACACCUUAACUACAAUAAUAUUGGUUUGACAUUAUAUGCAUAUACCAUAAUAAUAAUAUAUUAUAAUAAAUUUGCUGUAAUAAUUAUACAUUAACUUUAUUAUUUUAGAUUAAAAGACAUUAAAAAUCAACUUUUGUCUGUACAAUAUUUGUGUAAUACAUUUAUCAUAAGUGAUAAAAUAAAAUAGUUUUUAAUUACAGAUUAUUUGUUGUAUUGAUUUCAUGAUAAAUUACUUACUCAUCAUAUCACCUAUAAUGAUACUGUGAAAGUUUAUUUAUUUGUUUGUAAUAUUGAAAACCUUAACUCCAAAAUUAAUACAAAACAAUAACUUUUAUUGUAUUUUUUAAAUUAAAUUUGUUGUAUUUAUUAAACUUAAUACGAGUCCUAGGCAAAUGAAUCAAAUUAAAAAAAACUUUAACGUUUAACAUUUUAAACGGUAUUUCUUUUGAAAAUGUGUAUGUAAAGAAUAAAAUAUGUUCCUUUAUAUAGUGUAUAGCUCAAACAAAUCAUUAUUGUAAAAGCAUAAUUAUCGACUGAACAUGAAGUAGACCUGGAUUGUUCGUCAGCGAUGGUUUACGGUAUAUAUUAAAUUAUUUAAGAGAGUGGCUACACUAUUCCCUUCUAUCCUAGGACGCUUUUUUUAUUUUUUUAUUGUUAAUCGGUUCGAAAUAUCCAUAGACUAGAAUAUUUAAUAGAAAACAUACAUUUGCCUUAUCUAGACUUGAUAAUACUUUUAAAUUGAUCGAACAAUUGAGGUAUUUCCAGACAUUUUAUUUGCAUGUUUUGUACUUUAUUUUAUCUGUAACUACAUUAAUUGGGUAUAUAAUUGUAAGACUAAACAGAUAUGCUUAUACAUUCAUCAAAUUGUUUAUUAGAAGACGUUCAUGUUUUUCGAAUAUAUUUUGCAUAUUAUACGUACAUAUCAUAUAUUUCCACUAUUAUUUUCGGCAUAAGAAUUAACAUACAGACACUUGUUAAGAACAGCAUUUACCUUUUACCACCUUUUUGGAAUCGUCACUCUUAUCCGUAAGUUAUGUCAUUCAAUAUUUUACUCCUAAACAUAAUAGUAAUUUGAAAGUAAAAUGAUAUGUAUGUCAGUACAUUGUUAACAUGCACAUAGUGUUUAUAUUAGCCAUGCUCUUUAGCUAAUGUGUUAUAUUUCAUAUUAAAGCAUGAAAUAUCAACAUUCCUAGAUAAUAGUAACGUUAACUAAGAAUGUUGAAAAUAUUAAAAGUUAAGUUCAAUAAUUUAUCUGCAGUUCAUAUUUACAAUUAUGCAAACUAUAAUGAAAUAAAAUACUGAUUAACACUCAUAAUCCAUGUCCAUGGUGUGUAUCAUGGUCUCACUACAGUAAAUCACCAAACUGCCAUAUUAUAAAUGUUAACUUAUAAUUCAUCUAUAAUCAUCAAUAAUAAACCUAUAGCACCAGUCGAAAAAGUUGGGACAAAUUUACUAUAGGUUUUACGUACAAAAUGAUGAAUUAUAUGACACACAAAAUGAAGUAUACAUUAAAUUGAGUCUUUCUUCAAGCAAUGAUAUAUCUGUAAGAAAAGAUAUACCNACAUCUAUCGAUCUAUUACAUCAUCUAUCUACAUUUAUCGGUUUUUUUCUAAUAAACUCGUUCCGAAUUGUAUGUGUGCCAAUUCUUCUGUAAGCACAAAGGUACUUUUUAGAUUAUUAACGCCAAGUUUCAAAUAAAAACACUUAAAAAAAAAUAUAAACGUACAAUUUCUCUAUUUUAUUAUUUUAUUAAAACAAGGACGACGUUCUCUACGAAAAUAGUUCGUCCAUGUAUUAAUCGAAAAAUCACAAUAUAACUAUUUUGUGGCCUUUUCGAUUUACUUUCAGUCGGUAUCAACUUCACUCAGAAGAGUCUUUCUUCAAGCAAUGAUAUAUCUGUUAGAAAAGAUAUACCAUUCUUUGACGAAAUGAAAUCACCCAGUGUAUUAUAUGUACCUAACUUUUCACUUAUAACGGAGGACACUCCCAUCUUUAGUACCACCACUAUUAUUAAGAUUAAGUGCAAAAUAUAAGAGUUUAAUUUAACUGUCUUCAAAUAAAUUACUUUGCAUGUGUUUGCAGCCACUGUUGUUGUAGGUGGAAAAUUAGGAAUGUAAAAUUCAGGCUGAAAUAUAAUGUAAAUCUGUAAAAAUCGAAAACCAUUGAUACCGAAAAAACAAUUCUGAGAGAGGUUUACUGAAAAAUAUUGCUGUGUCAACAAUACAUAUGUCAUAUGAAAGCAAAAUAGUUGCAUAUGCAUUAAACAUUUUCUUUAAAAAUAUUUGUUCAAUUUUAGUAUCUAUUUUACCGUUAUCCUGAUUUUGACAUAUUUAAUAUUUUGGGAAGGAUUUGAUUAUAAUAAAAUUUAUUUUAAUAAUAUAAUGAUAUUAUUAACAAAUGUAAUUUAUUAUUACUUAUUACAAAUAGUAAUUACAAUUACUACGUCCUAAUUAUAGUCAUAACAAAACAUUAAAUUCUACAAGUAUUAAUCGGCACAUAAUAGAUAUGAUGGCACCUAUAUUAUAUAAUACAUGACUCAUAUCAUACGUAAAUAUUUUGUACAACAAUAUUAUUCUAUUAUAUGUCUUUAAUAAUAAAGCAUAAUUCAAAAUUUUAAGUUAACAAAAAAAGUGAAAAUUUCCAUAAUUUUAGUAAUUUUCCAAUUAAAAUAAACACAAAAAAAUUAUUUUUGAUCCUGUAUCGAGUAGGCAGCGAACCUAGCGGUAUUUUAAACUGCAGUAAUUUUUUCAAUUAAUUUAUCAUAGACCGAAAAGUGAAAGUGAUUACACCAUAAUAAUCUACCUUAAAGGUAGGAUUAUAGUGUGUCAAUGAUUUUAAUGAUUACAAAAGUACAAUAUUUUAUAUUUUUAAAUUUAAUGAGUUUUAAUUUUAUUAUAAUAUAUCUGAUUUAGUCUGAUUCAAAUCAACUUUUGUUGAAUAGAUAAUUUACAACUUGGUGAUCUAAACCUCUAGCAAGAACAUUUGGAUAAUCAGUCGACUACAAUUAUAAGUAACGUUUAGCAAUUUUUACUGUCAACUAGAAUCAUACCUAUAUAGUAAAUAUAAAUUGUUAUGACCGUAACGUUUAACUGAAAUAUAUUAAAAUCAAAGCAUAAAUUUAAUAUUGUGUCUCCUAAAAAUAUCAUAUUAUUCGCGUAUCUAUUUCGGAUUUAUUGCAAAUAUGCUGAUAAAAUUUAUCGUUUCGUUUGUUAUUAUUUAUUCUUUUAUGCCGGUGUCAGUACAAGGUGAAGGUCCGUUUGCUCCUGAACCGCCAUCUCAUCUCCCUAAUGAUCCUGGGAAUCCAUCUAUUUCUCAUGAUUCUGACAUUUCAGAUACAGGAGUUCACCCUAACCGUUAUCCUGAUAGUUCACCCCCAGAUGAUUGUGGUGGUUUCGGUUGUUGCCCCUCACCUUGUAAGAGAAAUUUAACAUGGGCCGAAUAUAAUUGUAAUAAAGGUUAUCACAUGUAUAAACCCGAAAUACCAAAUUGUUAUUGCUGUAACUGAAUAAUUCAUUUAUUCGAGGCACAAUUGCAAACUAUUUUACAAAUUCCAUAAAAAUAUCCAAAAUGAUCUUUCCAUAAUUUAUUCGUUUAAUGAAGCACACUUCCAAAUUGAGGCACUGCUACAAUUUAAAUUAAUUUACACCUUAACUACAAUAAUAUUGGUUUGACAUUAUAUGC